CCUGCCUAAACAUAAAUAUCGAUUGAAAUAACAAAAAUCAACUUACCGUUUGCUGUGAAAAAUUCCUUCGAGCAUUUCUUCCAGUGUUGCCAACUGUAAAUUUGCUAAGUGAGGCAUCUGCCAGUAUUAUUAAAGUCGUUAAAUACUUUUCUGUGGGAUUUAAUAUCAUAGAUUAAGUAUAUUCUUCAUCUGUAAAUAUCGUCGCCUCAUGCCAUGAACGACAGUUUCCGAAGUAAAGUCGACAAUCUCCGUCACAACUUCACAUAUCUUACAAACAUUUUUAGCGUUACAUUGUGGCUAGCCCGCGAACGGGCUAGCCACAAAAA